rnacentral:rRNA from 1 species
AUACGAAGGUCCCAAGCGUUAUUCGGAAUCACUGGGCGUAAAGAGUACGUAGGCGGUUUGGUAAGUCAGGUGUGAAAUCCCGAAGCUCAACUUCGGAACUGCAUCCGAUACUGCCAGACUAGAGUAAUGGAGAGGCAGGUGGAAUUCUCGGUGUAGCAGUGAAAUGCGUGGAUAUCGAGAGGAAGACCAAUGGCGAAGGCAGCCUGCUGGACAUUUACUGACGCUAAGGUACGAAGGCUAGGGGAGCGAAAGGAAUUAGAUACCCCAGUAGUCC